rnacentral:rRNA from 2 species
AAGCAGGGCGGUUUAAUACGAUGGCUACGGGAAGGAACGUUACCUGCUCCUGACAUGCCAGAGAACUUCCAGAGAUGGGAUGGUGGCCUUUCGGGUACUAUGAGACAAGUUGGUGCAUGGCUGUCGUCAAGCUAGGUGUUGUGAAAUGUUGGGGUGAAGUCAUGCAACGAGCGCAACCCUUAUCUUUUGUUUGCCAGCGAGUAAUGUCGGGAACUCCAGGGAGACAGCCGGUGAUUAACCGGAGGAAGGUGGGGACGACGUCAAGUCAUCAUGGCCUUUCCGAGUAGGGGUACACACAUGGUACAAUGGCGCAUACAGAGGGCGGCCAACUUGCGAAAGUGAGCGAAUCCCAAAAAAUGCGUCGUAGUCCGGAUUGGAGUUUGCAACUCGACUCCAUGAAGUCGGAAUCGCUCGUAAUCGUGGAUCAGAAUGCCACGGUGAAUACGUUCCCGGGCAUUGUACACACCGCCCGUCACACCAUCAGGGUGGGCGCAAGUCGAAGCAAGGUACCACAAGUCGUAUCAACGUUAAGACUCGACUUCGUUUUAAUCCCCCA